GUGCAGUAUGGCAGGAGAAGGGUUAGCACUCCCCGUGACAAGGAUGGAAGAGGCCCUUGGGGCCAACAGCACGGCAUGCGGUUAAGGAAUUGCCACCUACUUCGUGGCAGCUAACCACUGUUUGGG
ensembl:snRNA